rnacentral:rRNA from 1 species
UGAGGAAUCUUGCGCAAUGGGGGCAACCCUGACGCAGCCACGCCGCGUGCCGGAAGACGGCCCUAUGGGUUGUAAACGGCUUUUAGGUGGGAAGAACCCGGGUCUUUCGAGACCCGCUGACGGUACCACAAGAAUAAGCACCGGCUAACUCCGUGCCAGCAGCCGCGGUAAUACGGAGGGUGCAAGCGUUGUCCGGAAUUAUUGGGUGUAAAGGGUGCGCAGGCGUCCCGGCAGGUUUUCGGUGAAAUCCUCCCGCUUAACGGGAGAAGGGCCGGGAAAACCGCCGGGAUUGAGUCCGGAAGAGGCUGGUGGAACUGGUGGUGUAGCGGUGAAAUGCAUAGAGAUCACCAGGAACACCGGUGGCGAAGGCGGCCAGCUGGUCCGGUACUGACGCUGAGGCACGAGAGCGUGGGGAGCGAACAGGAUUAGAUACCCCCGUAGUCC